UACGGGGGGGGCAAGCGUUGUUCGGAAUUACUGGGCGUAAAGGGCUCGUAGGCGGCCAACUAAGUCAGACGUGAAAUCCCUCGGCUUAACCGGGGAACUGCGUCUGAUACUGGUUGGCUUGAAUCCGGGAGAGGGAUGUGGAAUUCCAGGUGUAGCGGUGAAAUGCGUAGAUAUCUGGAGGAACACCGGUGGCGAAGGCGGCAUCCUGGACCGGUAUUGACGCUGAGGAGCGAAAGCCAGGGGAGCAAACAGG
rnacentral:rRNA from 1 species